rnacentral:rRNA from 1 species
CUUCGGGAUAAGCCUGGGAAACUGGGUCUAAUACCGGAUAGGACGAUGGUUUGGAUGCCAUUGUGGAAAGUUUUUUCGGUGUGGGAUGAGCUCGCGGCCUAUCAGCUUGUUGGUGGGGUAAUGGCCUACCAAGGCGUCGACGGGUAGCCGGCCUGAGAGGGUGUACGGCCACAUUGGGACUGAGAUACGGCCCAGACUCCUACGGGAGGCAGCAGUGGGGAAUAUUGCACAAUGGGCGCAACCUUGAUGCAGCGACGCCGCGUGGGGGGAUGACGGCCUUCGGGUUGUAAACUCCUUUCGCUAGGGACGAAGCGCAAGUUACGGUACCUGGAGAAGAAGCACCGGCUAACUACGUGCCARCAGCCGCGGUAAUACGUAGGGUGCGAGCGUUGUCCGGAAUUACUGGGCGUAAARAGCUCSUAGGUGGUUUGUCGCGUCGUUUKUKUAARCCCSCAGCUUAACUKCGGGACUUCAGGCGAUACGGGCAUAACUUUAGUUCUKUAGGGGAGACUKGAAUUCCUYGUGUAGCGGUKGAAUWCCCAGAUAUCAAGARGAACACCCAUUGCCAAAGCAGGUCUCUUGGCARUAACUUACRCUYAAGARCCAAACAUUGGUADCCAAC